rnacentral:rRNA from 1 species
UCAGACGAUGCGUCAUGCAUAUCAAUAAGCGGAGGAAAAGAAACUAACAAGGAUUCCCCUAGUAACGGCGAGUGAAGCGGGAAGAGCUCAAAUUUGAAAUCUUAAAGGGUUUCCCUUUACGAAUUGUAGUUUAAAGAAGUGUUUUCUGUUGAGGUUUUGGUAAAAGUUCUUUGGAAUAGGACAUCAUAGAGGGUGAGAAUCCCGUAUUUGACCUUUACUUUCAACUUUGUGAUACACUUUCAAAGAGUCGGAUUGUUUGGGAAUGCAGUCCAAAAUGGGUGGUAAAUUUCAUCUAAAGCUAAAUAUUGGCGAGAGACCGAUAGCGAACAAGUACCGUGAGGGAAAGAUGAAAAGAACUUUGAAAAGAGAGUUGAACAGUACGUGAAAUUGUCAAAAGGGAAGCGUUUGACACCAGUGUUGUUUUUCUGAAAAUCAAUUAAAGAACUGUUUAUGCUAAGUUGUUUAGACUUUAUCAGCUAAUCUGUUUAGUUUUGAGCUUUUCUUUAAUGCACUUUUCAGUUAACAAGUCAACAUCAAUUUCUUUGCUGUAAAAUAGCUUGAGGAAGGUGGCUUGAGAUUCGUCUUAAGUGUUUAUAGCCUCUUGCCUAUGCAGUCGGAGAGAUUGAGGUCUGCAGCGUAGAUCCUUCGGGGCUAAAUGCAUUUGUGCUAAGUUAUAGCAUUUUAUAGACAACUUGUUGACUAUGAUUUGUCUUGUAGCUUACUCGCUUAUGUUAUUUUACCUACGCUUAGGAUGUUGACACACGCGCGUGCUCG